rnacentral:rRNA from 1 species
GAUGAACGCUAGCGACAGGCUUAACACAUGCAAGUCGAGGGGCAGCAUAAAAGUAGCAAUACUUUGGUGGCGACCGGCGCACGGGUGAGUAACGCGUAUGCAACCUACCUAUCAGAGGGGAAUAACCCGGCGAAAGUCGGACUAAUACCGCAUAAAACAGGGGCAACGCAUGGUGAUAUUUGUUAAAGAAAUUCGCUGAUAGAUGGGCAUGCGUUCCAUUAGGUAGUUGGUGAGGUAACGGCUCACCAAGCCGACGAUGGAUAGGGGAACUGAGAGGUUGGUCCCCCACACCGGAACUGAGACACGGACCAGACUCCUACGGGAGGCAGCAGUGAGGAAUAUUGGUCAAUGGGCGAGAGCCUGAACCAGCCAAGUCGCGUGAAGGAAGAAGGAUCUAUGGUUCGUAAACUUCUUUUGCAGGGGAAUAAAGUGCGGGACGUGUCCUGUUUUGUAUGUACCCUGAGAAUAAGGAUCGGCUAACUCCGUGCCAGCCGCCGCAGUAA